UAGGGAGAUCUCUUAGGUAAUCCGGGGGGUCAAUUCCGAGACGCGAUAACGAGCUGUCAAGGCUUCGGUCUGACGGUGAAGUGGUUGAUGCCAUGCUUCCAGGAAAAGCCUCUAAGCUUCAGGUAACAAGGGACCGUACCCCAAACCGACACAGGUGGUCAGGUAGAGAAUACCAAGGCGCUUGAGAGAACUCGGGUGAAGGAACUAGGCAAGAUGGUACCGUAACUUCGGGAGAAGGUACGCCGCUUGGGGUAAUCGGACUUGCUCCGUGAGCUCCGGGCGGUCGAAGUGACCAGGUGGCUGCGACUGUUUAUUAAAAACACAGCACUCUGCAAACACGAGAGUGGACGUAUAGGGUGUGACGCCUGCCCGGUGCCGGAAGGUUAAUUGAUGGGGUCAGCCGCAAGGCGAAGCUCUUGAUCGAAGCCCCGGUAAACGGCGGCCGUAACCAUAACGGUCCUAAGGUAGCGAAAUUCCUUGUCGGGUAAGUUCCGACCUGCACGAAUGGCGUAACGAUGGCCACACUGUCUCCACCCGAGACUCAGUGAAAUUGAACUCGCUGUGAAGAUGCAGUGUACCCGCGGCUAGACGGAAAGACCCCGUGAACCUUUACUACAGCUUUGCACUGGACUCUGAAUCUGUUUGUGUAGGAUAGGUGGGAGGCUAUGAAGCCGGAACGCUAGUUCUGGUGGAGCAAACCUUGAAAUACCACCCUGACAUAUUUGGGGUUCUAACCCAGGCCCGUUAUCCGGGUCGGGGACAGUGUAUGGUGGGUAGUUUGACUGGGGCGGUCUCCUCCCAAAGAGUAACGGAGGAGCACGAAGGUACCCUCAGCGUGGUCGGAAAUCACGCUUUUGAGUGCAAAGGCAUAAGGGUGCUUGACUGCGAGAGCGACGGCUCGAGCAGGUGCGAAAGCAGGUCUUAGUGAUCCGGUGGUUCUGAAUGGAAGGGCCAUCGCUCAACGGAUAAAAGGUACUCCGGGGAUAACAGGCUGAUACCGCCCAAGAGUUCAUAUCGACGGCGGUGUUUGGCACCUCGAUGUCGGCUCAUCACAUCCUGGGGCUGAAGCCGGUCCCAAGGGUAUGGCUGUUCGCCAUUUAAAGUGGUACGCGAGCUGGGUUUAGAACGUCGUGAGACAGUUCGGUCCCUAUCUGCCGUGGGCGUUGGAGAUUUGAGGAAAGCUGCUCCUAGUACGAGAGGACCGGAGUGGACGAACCUCUGGUGUUCGGGUUGUCACGCCAGUGGCAUUGCCCGGUAGCUACGUUCGGACGGGAUAACCGCUGAAAGCAUCUAAGCGGGAAGCCUCUUCCAAGAUGAGAUCUCCCCAGGGACUCGAUCCCCCUGAAGGGUUGUUC
rnacentral:rRNA from 1 species